GAUGAACGCUAGCGGCAGGCUUAACACAUGCAAGUCGAGGGGCAGCGUGGAGCAGCAAUGCUCUGACGGCGACCGGCGGAAGGGUGCGUAACACGUGAGCGACUUGCCCGUCACAGGGGGAUAACCGGCGGAAACGGCGACUAAUACCCCAUACGAUGCGAUGCUGCAUGGCAUUGCAUUGAAAGAUUCAUCGGUGGCGGAUAGGCUCGCGGGACAUUAGCUAGACGGCGGGGCAACGGCCCACCGUGGCGACGAUGUCUAGGGGUUCUGAGAGGAAGGCCCCCCCACACUGGGACUGAGACACGGCCCAGACUCCUACGGGAGGCAGCAGUGAGGAAUAUUGGUCAAUGGGCGGAAGCCUGAACCAGCCAUGCCGCGUGAAGGACUAAGGCCCUACGGGUCGUAAACUUCUUUAGACGCAGAGCAAUAAGGUCCACGUGUGGACCGAUGAGAGUAUGCGUAGAAUAAGCAUCGGCUAACUCCG
rnacentral:rRNA from 1 species